rnacentral:rRNA from 1 species
AGAGUUUGAUCCUGGCUCAGGAUGGACGCUAGCGGCAGGCCUAACACAUGCAAGUCGAGGGGUAACAGGGAGCUUGCUCCGCUGACGACCGGCGCACGGGUGCGUAACGCGUAUACAAUCUACCUUUUGCUACGGGAUAGCCCAGAGAAAUUUGGAUUAAUACCGCAUAGUAUAUUGAGAUCGCAUGGUUUUAAUAUUAAAGGUUACGGCAGAAGAUGAGUAUGCGUUCUAUUAGCUAGAUGGUGUGGUAACGGCAUACCAUGGCAACGAUAGAUAGGGGCCCUGAGAGGGGGAUCCCCCACACUGGUACUGAGACACGGACCAGACUCCUACGGGAGGCAGCAGUGAGGAAUAUUGGACAAUGGGCGAGAGCCUGAUCCAGCCAUGCCGCGUGCAGGAAGACGGCCCUAUGGGUUGUAAACUGCUUUUAUACAGGAAGAAACACCUCUACGAGUAGAGGCUUGACGGUACUGUAAGAAUAAGGAUCGGCUAACUCCGUGCCAGCAGCCGCGGUAAUACGGAGGAUCCAAGCGUUAUCCGGAAUCACUGGGUUUAAAGGGUCCGUAGGUGGAUAAUUAAGUCAGGGGUGAAAGUCUGCAGCUCAACUGUAGAAUUGCCCUUGAUACUGGUUGUCUUGAGUCAUUAUGAAGUAGUUAGAAUAUGUAGUGUAGCGGUGAAAUGCAUAGAUAUUACAUAGAAUACCAAUUGCGAAGGCAGAUUACUAAUAAUGUACUGACACUGAUGGACGAAAGCGUGGGGAGCGAACAGGAUUAGAUACCCUGGUAGUCCACGCCGUAAACGAUGGAUACUAGCUGUUCGGAUUUAUCUGAGUGGCUAAGCGAAAGUGAUAAGUAUCCCACCUGGGGAGUACGUUCGCAAGAAUGAAACUCAAAG